UACGUAGGGGGCAAGCGUUGUCCGGAAUCAUUGGGCGUAAAGAGCGUGUAGGCGGUUCGGUAAGUCGGCUGUGAAAGUCCAGGGCUCAACCCUGGGAUGCCGGUCGAUACUGCCGGACUAGAGUUCGGAAGAGGCAAGUGGAAUUCCCGGUGUAGCGGUGAAAUGCGCAGAUAUCGGGAGGAACACCUAUGGCGAAGGCAGCUCGCUGGGACGUUACUGACGCUGAGACGCGAAAGCGUGGGGGAGCAAACAGG
rnacentral:rRNA from 1 species